rnacentral:sRNA from 1 species
AUGCUUAUUAAAUGUUGAUUUCAAACUGAAAGAAUCUCUGCUGGAAGCUUUUACUUAUGAUAAGGAGUAUAUGGGCCAGCCAAUUUGUGUAGAUUUAAGCACACAGUAAAAUCAAGAAGGUAUUGGAUGUUUUGGUGGCCGCUCUAAUGAACCCGACAGAACAGAAGGUGACCCUGCCUCUUUGGAUGACUGUCAUUUAUGAAGUAACCAGUUUUCUUGGAGGUGUUUUUACAUAUCACUGGUGAACCUGAAGUCAAGCAUUCUUCAAGAAUCUUCAUAAAAGCACAUUGGAUGUUUUAUCUGUGAGACUAUGACGAGAGGUCUUGUUGUUAAGGAACGGAAUGUCUAGAAGUUUAUUUUGUUUCUCUCGCUCGCAGUGUGCUGGUGCCUGCUUCAGCUGGUCAUUGUCUAGAUUGAUUCUGGAGACCUGACUGUUGAUGCUGGAACUGUCUUGAUAUAGAGUGAUUUUGCUCUGUCAUGAUUUACAGCUCUAUUUGUAGAUUGGUUGUAUUUGUUUAUAUGUAUAUUAAUCAUGUACACAUAUAUCACAGGAAACAAGAAAUAUAUUUAAAACACAUAACAUAGAACUUUAUUAAAACAAGUAGAAUCAAUGAAUCAUCCAAAAAUUAUAUACAUCAGUGAAAAUGAAAAGCUAAGAGCUCCAAAUGACUUCGAUAAGUGGGUUGUCUUAAAAACAUUAGAAUCAAAUAAGAUAUUCUUAAAUGAAAAUAUCUAGUAUGAAAUGUUUUAAAAACAAGAAGCUGGGAAUGCAACCCUCCGCUGUAAAAAAACAAACCAUAAACCAUUGAAUUCCAUUUGAUAAAUCAAAACAUGGCAUCCUAUGGAAAGCAUAGACAGUUAAAACCUUAGUUUUUCUUUGAAACUUUGAAACAUAAAAACAUGUUUGCAAUCCAGGCACACAAAGGAUAUAGUACAGAUAUAGUCCAGUGUUUCUUUCAGUAACUUGAAAGCCACAAUGCUUUUCACUUUGAGAGAAUGGAAAUAGAUUUAGAAAACACAAUAAAAUUUGAAUAACUAACAUGCGGUAUCCAGUCAUAUCAUCCAAACAAAUGUCCUGUUGAACACUAUCAUUUAAUUUCCUAAAUGAACUGCUUUCAGGAACAUUUCCAGUGUUAGUAGCAUUAGGAUUUAGUGGUUCAAGCUCUAGUAUGUCAGUGUUCACAUGUUGAAUUUCACUGAUUUCAGUCUCACUAGAUCUAGACUUAAUUUCUAGUAUACUGGUAUUGAAAAUCAUAGUCUCUUUGUUUACUCUAAAUCUUUUCACUUGUGCUUGUCCGUAGGAAAGAAUAAAAAUUCCAGAGUUUAGAAAAUCAGUCUUCAUAUGCUUACUUAGGAAAGUAUCCACUUGUAAUUAAAUGGAAUUGUUCCAUUGUGUAAAUUAAGAUUUAAUGCUAUCACAGUCAUCAGCACGGCCAAGCAGUACCAAGAUGCUCAAAGUGGCAUCUAAAGAAGCCAUCAAAAUCAUUAAGUAUUUGGGCUUUAACCAUUUUAAACUGGAUGGUUGCAUUCUCACAUUGUGCAUGAGUUUUAUAUGUCUCAAACAUAAGCAGAGUUUUGUUGGUCAUAAUUAGUAACAAUGUGUUUUCAAGAAUUAUUUAUUUGAAUUUCAGCAUCACAUUACUGUAAAUGUGAUGAUUUCCGUUUCCUAGUGACAAUAUUUAUUGAUGAUGUAAUAGUUAUUAUUCUUUCAUUGCAUUAUCUUUUCUUUUUCUAUAUGUGGUGGGUUUGGCACAGAAUGUAACACAACCAAAUGACAAGGCAACUCAGGAGGCUUAUUUCAAGUGUUUAAUAUACACAAAAAACCUGCCAAAGGCAAACAUAAAACAUAAUUUCAAAUGAGCAUAAACUAAACAUAAUAACUAGGCCUAAAUGAAUAGACCAAGUUGUACACACAACAUCAGGUCUAAAUACUAGAUCUUAACAAAAAAACGAAAAGAAAAUCAUAUAGUGUAAACCAACCAUCUCUUAUACAAACACAAGAGCUGUAAUAGUACCAUGGACAAAACGGGACUUGACGUGCACUUUAGCGAGAGGUACUGUUUUGGGUGGGAUGUCUAAGUCAAGAGAUUGAAGGGUCACUGAUACAUCCAUAAUGUCUUCAGGUCUUACAAAAGAUCUACUGACAAUGGCAUCAAAAGAGCAGCCAGAGUCUAAUAGACAUUUAGCCCCACGUCCAUUGAUUAGCACUUCCUCUUUAACUUGCGGAUUACGUCCAGAUGAAGAUGGGUGGUUCAUGUAUCCAGGAAAAAAGGCGGCAAUUGUGUGGAUUGGCUGUGAUCUGCAUUCAUACAAAUUGUGUGAGCGGCUGUUGUGAAAAUUACACCAUUUUCCUAGUUUCUGCCUUUUAUUAACACAUGUUGGUUCUGCGACUUCUUCGACCUUACCCCUGUUUCUGUAAAGAGGUAGCAUUAGGUCACAGUAAUGAUUAGUGACAGUCAAUAUGUACAUAUAUUCCAGUAUAUAUCAUUGUUAAUGUGUGCAUGUAUUCCAGUAUACAUUAUUAUGAUUGUUUAUGUAGCUAGAAAUGGAUUUGUAUUAUUUUUUAAAAUUCUCACAGCUUUUAUUAAAGUUGCUUGUGAUUCCAUAAGUAACAAUAGUCCAAUUUACACAUUUAUUUAGUAGAUUAUUUAGUAUGAUUGUUGAUGUAAAUAGAACUGGAUUUGUAUUAUUUACAAAUAUACCGGAAGUAGAUCUCUUCAACCAACAAAACGAAUAAUAAAUUUUCCUGUAUUUUAUCUAUGUAUAAUAUUUACAAUAAACUAUUCUCUAACAAAUGUUGUUAAUCCAACUAGAUGCAACCAGGAUACAAUUAAUGCAUUUAAUCCAACUAGAUGCAACCAUGAUGCACUCAAUACAUUUGUAUUAAUACUGAUACCAUGGAUUAAAAUGUGUAAAAUAUCAACCCAUGUCUAGCAGAAAUCACCUACAUUUACUUUUCUUCAUCUUUUUGAUAACAUUUUCAACAUCUUUGAUCCAACACUUGACUCCUUCUUUACUUUUUCUAAUUAUACAAAUUUGACUUGACAUUUAUACCAAAAAAUUGAUAAAACUAAGCAUAUACUGCUGAUCCCAAACUGUAUCUGCACUUGGCGUUCCUUUGGACAUGAUCAGCUUGGAGAGGGGAGCUGAUGUGUGGACAAUGCUCUUGACCAUAGCUAAUGCCCAUGCAUUUAUCUUAUGCUCUUUACAAUUAUCCUUAUGCUUAGAAUAGAUUGUGUUUAAUCAAAUGUACAUUAUUUUACCACUACAUUUCUAUUAUGUUUAAGAUAUUAGAAUAUUGUAAACUUUAUUUACUUUCCAAACUGAUAAAUGUAAACUCUUGGGUUUUGUUUCAUUUGUUUUAUUUGCAUUGGUAAAAACAAUUCUUGCAAUAAAAUUUUAAAUUUUCA